UCAUGGCUCAGAACGAACGCGGGCGGCGUGCUUAACACAUGCAAGUCGAGCGCGAAAGGGGCUUUCGGGCCUCGAGUAGAGCGGCAGACGGGUGAGUAACACGUGGGUAACCUGCCUCUGGGUGGGGGAUAACCACCUGAAAGGGUGGCUAAUACCGCAUAAGACCACGUCCUUUAGGGGAUGAGGUCAAAGGCCCUUCGGGGUCGCCAGGAGAGGGGCCCGCGUCCGAUUAGCUGGUUGGCGGGGUAAUGGCCCACCAAGGCGACGAUCGGUAGCUGGUCUGAGAGGAUGAUCAGCCACACUGGUACUGAGACACGGACCAGACUCCUACGGGAGGCAGCAGUGGGGAAUAUUGCGCAAUGGGCGAAAGCCUGACGCAGCAACGCCGCGUGGGUGAUGAAGGCCUUCGGGUCGUAAAGCCCUGUCAGGUGGGAAGAAACCUCUCCGCGAGGGGAGCUGACGGUACCACCGAAGGAAGCACCGGCUAACUCCGUGCCAGCAGCCGCGGUAAUACGGAGGGUGCAAGCGUUGUUCGGAAUCACUGGGCGUAAAGGGCGCGUAGGCGGCUAGGGAAGUCCGGUGUGAAAGCCCGGGGCUCAACCCCGGAAGUGCAUUGGAAACUCCCUGGCUUGAGUUCGGAAGAGGAGGGCAGAAUUCCCGGUGUAGGGGUGAAAUCCGUAGAUAUCGGGAGGAAAACCAGUGGCGAAGGCGGCCCUCUGGGACAGAACUGACGCUGAGGCGCGAAAGCGUGGGGAGCAAACAGGAUUAGAGACCCUGGUAGUCCACGCCGUAAACGAUGGAUGCUUGGUGUGGGGAUCAAUAAGGAUCUCCGUGCCGCAGCUAACGCGGUAAGCAUCCCGCCUGGGGAGUACGGUCGCAAGACUAAAACU
rnacentral:rRNA from 1 species